GAAAAGUCUAGAAAUUGAAGAGAAAAUUAAUAAAAUUAGGUGGUUGCCACAACAGAAUGCUGCUCAUUUUCUACUCUCUACAAAUGAUAAAACUAUUAAAUUAUGGAAAAUAAGUGAACGGGAUAAAAGAGCAGAAGGUUAUAACUUAAAAGAUGAAGAUGGACGACUUCGAGAUCCUUUUAGAAUUACAGCACUACAGGUCCCUAUAUUGAAGCCCAUGGACCUUAUGGUAGAAGCAAGUCCGCGGCGAAUUUUUGCAAAUGCUCACAUGUAUCAUAUAAGUUCCAUUUCAGUAAAUAGUGAUCAUGAAACGUAUCUUUCUGCAGAUGACCUGAGAAUAAACCUAUGGCAUUUAGAAAUCACAGAUAGAAGCUUUAACAUUGUGGAUAUCAAGCCUGCUAACAUGGAAGAGCUGAUGGAAUUCAUCACCGCUGCCGAGUUCCACCCACACCAGUGCAAUGUGUUUGUCUACAGCAGCAGCAAAGGGACCAUCCGGCUAUGUGACAUGCGUUCCUCUGCCCUGUGUGACAGACACUCUAAGUUUUUUGAAGAGCCUGAAGAUCCCAGCAGUAGAUCCUUUUUCUCAGAAAUAAUUUCAUCUAUCUCUGAUGUCAAAUUCAGCCAUAGCGCUCGAUACAUGAUGACCAGGGACUACCUGUCUGUGAAGGUUUGGGACCUCAACAUGGAGAACAGGCCUGUGGAGACCCACCAGGUGCAUGAGUACCUGCGAAGCAAGCUCUGUUCCCUGUAUGAGAAUGACUGCAUCUUUGACAAGUUUGAGUGCUGUUGGAAUGGUUCAGACAGUGCUAUCAUGACGGGGUCCUACAACAACUUCUUUAGAAUGUUUGAUAGAAACACUCGGCGGGAUGUUACACUGGAAGCUUCAAGAGAGAACAGCAAACCCCGAGCCAGCUUAAAACCCCGGAAAGUAUGUACAGGUGGUAAAAGGAAGAAAGAUGAGAUUAGUGUGGACAGUCUAGACUUCAACAAGAAGAUCCUUCACACAGCCUGGCACCCCGUGGAGAACAUUAUUGCUGUAGCUGCCACCAAUAACUUGUAUAUAUUCCAGGACAAAAUCAACUAAAAAAGCUAACUGGAGGACCAAGUCUUAUCUCAAAUAGUUAAG